UACGGAGGGUGCGAGCGUUGUCCGGAAUCAUUGGGCGUGAAGGGCGCGUAGGUGGCCCGGUCAGUUCGUGGUGAAAGCGCGGGGCUCAACCCUGCGUCGGCCAUGAAUACUGCCGCGGCUGGAGCACUGUAGAGGCAGGCGGAAUUCCGGGUGUAGCGGUGGAAUGCGUAGAGAUCCGGAAGAACACCGGUGGCGAAGGCGGCCUGCUGGGCAGUUGCUGACACUGAGGCGCGACAGCGUGGGGAGCAAACAGG
rnacentral:rRNA from 1 species